AGCCAGACUCCUACGGGAGGCAGCAGUGGGGAAUAUUGCACAAUGGGGGAAACCCUGAUGCAGCGACGCCGCGUGAGCGAUGAAGUAUUUCGGUAUGUAAAGCUCUAUCAGCAGGGAAGAAAAUGACGGUACCUGACUAAGAAGCCCCGGCUAACUACGUGCCAGCAGCCGCGGUAAUACGUAGGGGGCAAGCGUUAUCCGGAUUUACUGGGUGUAAAGGGAGCGUAGACGGCAAUGCAAGCCAGAUGUGAAAGCCCGGGGCUCAACCCCGGGACUGCAUUUGGAACUGUGUAGCUGGAGUGUCGGAGAGGCAGGCGGAAUUCCUAGUGUAGCGGUGAAAUGCGUAGAUAUUAGGAGGAACACCAGUGGCGAAGGCGGCCUGCUGGACGAUGACUGACGUUGAGGCUCGAAAGCGUGGGGAGCAAACAGGAUUAGAUACCCUGGUA
rnacentral:rRNA from 1 species